rnacentral:rRNA from 1 species
AUGGGCGAUUUUAAUGAAAUCCUACAUGCAUCAGAGAUGGAAGGGGGCAAUCCUAGGCCACGUGCAAUGAUCCAGGCCUUCAGUGACUGUUUGCAUGAUUGUGGUCUAAAAGAUGUGGAGUAUACGGGUGAUAAAUACACCUGGAGAAGGGGCGAAAUCUAUGAACGCCUUGAUGGAGGUGUUUGUAAUGAAGCCUGGAUGGAAAAUUUCCCCUAG